UACGUAGGGUGCGAGCGUUAAUCGGAAUUACUGGGCGUAAAGUGUGCGCAGGCGGCGUUGCAAGUCGAGUGUGAAAUCCCCGAGCUUAACUUGGGAAUUGCGCUCGAAACUACGAUGCUCGAGUGUGGCAGAGGAAGGUGGAAUUCCACGUGUAGCGGUGAAAUGCGUAGAUAUCAGGAGGAACACCUGUGGCGAAAGCGGCGCACUGGACCACAACUGACGCUGAGGCGCGAAAGCUAGGGGAGCAAACAGG
rnacentral:rRNA from 1 species